GACGAACGCUGGCGGCGUGCUUAACACAUGCAAGUCGAACGGUGAAGGGGCCUGCUUUUGUGGGCCCUGGAUGAGUGGCGAACGGGUGAGUAACACGUGAGUAACCUGCCCCCUUCUUCUGGAUAACCGCAUGAAAGUGUGGCUAAUACGGGAUAUUCUGGGUCUGUCGCAUGAUGGGUCUGGGAAAGAUUGCGCCUUUGGGUGUUUUUGGUGGGGGAUGGGCUCGCGGCCUAUCAGCUUGUUGGUGGGGUGAUGGCCUACCAAGGCGGUGACGGGUAGCCGGCCUGAGGGGAGGGACGGUCACACUGGGACUGAGACACGGCCCAGACUGCUACGGGAGGCAGCAGUGGGGAAUAUUGCACAAGGGGCGCAAGCCUGAUGCAGCGACGCCGCGUGAGGGAUGGAGGCCUUCGGGUUGUAAACCUCUUUCGCCAGUGAAGCAGGCCUGCUCCUUGUGGGUGGGUUGACGGUAGCUGGAUAAGAAGCGCCGGCUAACUACGUG
rnacentral:rRNA from 1 species